CUCAAUUCUCCCCCAUCCCAGACUCUAUGACAGUAUCGCUUUACCUUGAAAAAAAAGAAAAAAAAAGGAGAAAGGAAGAAAGAAGUAGAUCUGCUAGUCCAGAAAACCUCAGAUGCUUUGAGACAUUCAGAAGAAAAAAGCAUGCUUUGUGCGGCAUGUAAAUACGAUGAGGAAGAGGCACUUUGUUGCUGUCAAGAAUAGCCUGUGAUGUUGUAUGACUGCUUCAAGUCUUGAUGAUCCAAAGACAAGAUUGUAGUCUGAACCAUGUUAUUCCAGAGAAAGUUGGGAAGAUUCUGCUCUGUAAGUAUUUAGACUUUAUGUAAAGCUGACAAAAAAGAAAAUGGAAAUGGCUGGACAUUGUCAAUCACUGCAU
ensembl:lncRNA